ACUGCGCACCUCUGGGAGUGGUGGGCCAGGCGAAGGUGCCAUAGCGCGCGGCCCAGGCGCUGCUGCUGCAGCAGGAGCUGGCCCGGGGGCUCCCCGGCGCCGCCGUUUACAGGCGAGCGCAGGCCCAUGUUCUCGAAGUAGUGAGCCAGGAAGGCGAUCGGCUCCUCGGGCCGCGCCUCCAGCACCUUCAGCAGGGCCGCACGUAGCAUUUCCGUCACGCCGACCUGCCGCAGGAAGUCCUCCUCGCUCUCGGCCGCCCCCGCCGCCCGGGAUACCGACUGGCGGCCGCUGUCCGUGAAACCGGCCGGCGGUGGUACCGCUUGCCGCCGCUUCUCCACUGCCGCCAUCUUCGCUGAGGGCAGCGGGACCGGAAGCACCGCCAUAUUCCACUGUGCGCUAGAGCCCCCCCAAGGCGGCCAUCUUGAUUAAGGGCAGAGGGCACCGGUAUCCCGCUGGGAGACUUUGGGAAGUGACAAGGCCCUUCCCACCCUCCCUGCCCCCAGGGACCAGAACUCACAGCCUGUUGGGAUCACUUCUCCCUGCGUGGGCCCAGCCUGGGAGAUCUCAGGGCGGCGAGUCCUGGUGGAGCCUGGGCUCCUGGGGGUCUGCCUGGAGCCAGUUUCGCUGCGGGUCAGGGGGCCGCGCGGAGCCCCGCAACUUCCCCUCUCAGCCCCUGCCUCCUCCGAGCCCCCUCCUCUGGCAGGAUCACCAAUCACCCCCUAUCUCGGAGCCCCUUAACUCUGAGCACCCCUCGUCUCUCCCGCGCCCCCUCCGAGCCCCUCCUCUCUCCUGCGCCCCCUCUUAACUCCCUCCUCUCUCCCGCGUCCCCUCCCC
rnacentral:lncRNA from 1 species